CCGGGGCCGCGGACUCGGACUGCUCUCGGCCGCGCGGGCGGCGGGCGGCGGCCCGCGGCCGUCCCCGGGCGGCACCCCCGGAGCACCCCCCGCCCGGCAGCCUCCACCGAGCGACAGCAACGCCUCCGACCCGCCACCCAUCGCUGGAUGUCCCUCCACUUUUCCCACCGUAUCAAACAACUUUUACCAGUAAAUAUCGGUUUAUUCCUGAAACCAGAAGCCCUAAACAUACCUUUGUUUAUAAGUUUUCCUACUCUGCAACUCUGGAAAUGGAGCCCACAGGACCUAGAGCCUUCUCUUGAAAGCAAGGCUUCUGUUUUGGAAAAGAAGCGUGAAGUGGGGAGGAGGGAGAGAAUUUGAGCAUUGCCCAUCCUAAAAUAGUUUUAAACACUUCCUCCGAGGCUGAUGGAAAAGGCAGGUGAAAGGUCUGAUCCUUAAAAGGACAUUGCUAGGUAUUUGGGACUCCA
rnacentral:lncRNA from 1 species